AACGAACGCUGGCGGCAUGCCUAACACAUGCAAGUCGAACGAGACCUUCGCGUCUGGUGGCGCACGGGUGCGUAACGCGUGGGAACCUGCCCGUCGGUUCGGAAUAACCCCCCGAAAGGGGUGCUAAUACCUCCCACUUUCUUCCGACCAAGGAUUUAUCGCCUUUGGAUGCGCCCGCGUCGGUUUCGCUAGUUGUUAGGGUAAAAGCCUCCCAGGGCAACGAUCCAUAGCUGGCCGGAGAGAGUGAUCAGCAGCACGGGGACUGAGACACGGCCAGGACUCCUCGGGGAGGAGGCGGAAGGAAAUAUCGGAAAAGGGGGGAAAGCUGGAUGAAGCACGGCCGGGUGAGUGAUGCAGGCCUUAGGGUUGUAAAGCCUUUUUACCCGGGAGGAUAAUGACAGUACCGGGAGAAUAAGCCCCGGCUAACUCCGUG
rnacentral:rRNA from 1 species